UAUGCCUUGGGUUUUAAUUGCCCAGAUGUU
rnacentral:piRNA from 1 species